rnacentral:tRNA from 1 species
CGAGUUAUAUUCUAGGAAUAAUAUUAUUUACAUUAAUGUUUUGGCUUUGUGCAAUUCAGCCUGGCUCGA